rnacentral:hammerhead_ribozyme from 1 species
GCACUGCUGAAGAGUCCCCUAAACAGGACGAAACAGCUGUCCAGUGC